UGCGUAGGUGGUUUGAUAAGUUAGGUGUGAAAGUCCUGGGCUUAACCUGGGGACUGCGCCUAAUACUGUUAAGCUAGAGUACUGUAGAGGAAGGUGGAAUUUCCGGUGUAGCAGUGAAAUGCGUAGAUAUCGGAAGGAACAUCAGUGGCGAAGGCGACUUUCUGGACAGAUACUGACACUGAGGCACGAAAGCGUGGGGAGCAAACA
rnacentral:rRNA from 1 species